rnacentral:rRNA from 1 species
CGNUGAUCCUGCCGGAGGUUACUGCUAUCGGAGUUCGAUUAAGCCAUGCGAGUCUAAAGGUUUCUUCGGAAGCCUUGGCGGACUGCUCAGUAACACGUGGAUAACCUACCCUUGGGANNNGAAUAACCCCGGGAAACUGGGGAUAAUACCGGGAUAGAUCAGGGAUGCUGGAAUGCACCUUGAUCCAAAGCUCCGGCGCCCAAGGAUGGGUCUGCGGCCUAUCAGGUUGUAGUGGGUGUAACGUACNUACUAGCCGACGACGGGUACGGGUUGUGAGAGCAAGAGCCCGGAGAUGGAUUCUGAGACACGAAUCCAGGCCCUACGGGGUGCAGCAGGCGCGAAACCUUUACAAUGUGCGAAAGCAUGAUAAGGGAACUCCGAGUGCCAGUAUCUAAUACUGGCUGUCCUUGUGCCUAAACCGCACAAGAUAGCAAGGGCCGGGUAAGACCGGUGCCAGCCGCCGCGGUAACACCGGCGGCCCGAGUGGUAGCCGCUAUUAUUGGGUCUAAAGGGUCCGUAGCCGGUUCGAUAAGUCCUCUGGGAAAUCUGGUUGCUUAACAAUCAGACUGCCAAGGGAUACUGUUGAACUUGAGACCGGGAGAGGUAAGAGGUACUUCAGGGGUAGGAGUGAAAUCUUGUAAUCCCUGGGGGACCAUCUGUGGCGAAGGCGUCUUACCAGAACGGGUCUGACGGUGAGGGACGAAAGCUGGGGGCGCAAACCGGAUUAGAUACCCGGGUAGUCCCAGCCGUAAACGAUGCUCGCUAUGUGUCAGGUACGGUGUGACCGUAUCUGGUGCCGUAGGGAAGCCGUGAAGCGAGCCACCUGGGAAGUACGGUCGCAAGACUGAAACUUAAAGGAAUUGGCGGGGGAGCAC